GUUAAAUUUGUGCAUGUACCUACUCAGGUCUGGAAUGGGUAUAACCUAAGUAGUUGGUUUGGAAGUUGGUAUGAGCAGCUUGGAGGAAUUAAGACAUUAGUAGGAGGAGUAGUGUUUAUCAUAUUCUUAUGUCUUUUCCUGCCCUGUCUAAUUCCACUAGUGGUAAGGUCCCUACGUAGUAUUAUAGAGAGUACUAUAGAGAGAAAGACAGCGGCUCAUGUAAUGGCUGUCUGGAAGAUAUGAUCCCCUAGCCCGAAG